CAGAGGGGGGCAAGCGUUAUUCGGAAUUAUUGGGCGUAAAGGGCGCGUAGGCGGCUUUGCAAGUGGCGGGUGAAAUCCCUCGGCUUAACCGAGGAACUGCCUGCCAGACUGUGAGGCUCGAGACCGGGAGAGGUGAGUGGAAUUCCCAGUGUAGCGGUGAAAUGCGUAGAUAUUGGGAGGAACACCAGUGGCGAAGGCGGCUCACUGGACCGGUACUGACGCUGAGGCGCGAAAGCGUGGGGAGCAAACAGGAUUAGAUACCCUGGUAGUCCACGCCGUAAACGAUGAGUGCUUGGUGUAGCGGGUAUCGACCCCUGCUGUGCCGACGUCAACACAUUAAGCACUCCGCCUGGGGAGUACGGUCGCAAGACUG
rnacentral:rRNA from 1 species